GUGUUGUUGUUUGGGACAGAUUUUUUCACGCAUUCGGGGUAGAAUGGCAACCAAACCAGCGGUGUAUGUAAGAAAAGUAUUUGGGGGCAAGUCUUAGCCUUAGCGGGCCUGGCGAUAAGUGCAGGAUAGAUUAAGUAGAAUAAAUUUAAAUUUAUUAAAAAUGGAUUCACAAAGAAAAGGAGCAGUAAAACAAUUAAAAUUAGAGAAUUUAAAAAUGCAAAGCUAUAUAAUAUUUUUGUGCGGUUAAUUAAUGGCACUUCUUUUUAUUCAACUAAGCACUGUACUGAUAUCGCGUUUGGCGCGCAUACGCGAAAAAAUCCGGCCCGAACAACACACUGCUCAACAGUUCAAUUCUCUCCAGACUCGGGCACACGUGUGUUGUAUUCUGCAAGUAACAAUAUACUGAUCAAAUAUUAUUUUAACGGAAAAGGGCAUACAAAAUUUGUGACGAUUCUAAUGUGCUAUGAUCAAUAUUAAUAUAUGACUAGUAAUCAAUAUUAAUAAAUGAUCUUCGGAUGCAUCUUGUGUCGAUAAUUGUAAUAUUUGUGUAAUAUUUGUUAUUAACAAACAUGACAGAUCAAGAGAGUCAAACUGAGGACACUGUGACAUUGCUUCUUUAAACGGUGCGAUUUAAGACUGAUAAGAAAAAACUGAUCAAUAAGAGCCGAUACUUUGCCGUGCUUCUUUCUACAACUUAUGCAGAUUAUCUUUCGUUGGAACAUAUUAUCAAUUAUGACAUUCCUUCUACUUGUUUCCAGUUAGUUAACCGCGUUAGUUAACUAUAAUUGUUAACUGCGUUAAAAAAAAAAAUUGUUAAAAUUAAUGUGAUUACAAUAUGUGUGGUGAUUUUAUAAAUUGGAUUAACAAUGAUAAAUAUGAUGUUGUACAAAAGAUAUAUAAUGAAGAUUAUGUCGAACAUCUUUUGUUGUUAUUGGAAUUAAGCGUUCUGUUCGCAGUAGAUUUAAUAGAAAAUGUAACACUUACACUCCAGAGAUACUAUUUGUUACCGGAAAAUAUAAUUGAUAUUUGGUUGCUAGCA